AAGUAGUCUACGCUCGACCUGAACCGGCAUUUUAUAAACCCCUGGCUUUAGCCGCUCGGGGUGAGAGUGUUAGGAGGCAUUAGCAAGUCGUUGUCGCUACCACAAGCCAGAGUGAUCCAGCCCAUAUCGGAGUGCCGGCAAUUCGCCUUCCUUCACCAGAGUGGGUCCGGGCAAGGUCAAGCUGCCAGGGAAACCCUGAUGAAUCAUGAAAUUGGAUCAGAGGCAUUCAGGUCUGGUGACGAAGAAAAUCACAAGAGGUUUAGGUACGAUCUCUGGAGAGCUGUCUCAGAGGAGAUGCAGACGGGGUGGGAGCUCGCGGAUCAACCAACUCUAUAUAUCUAGGAAGACACCCGGUUUCAGGAUUCGUUCUGGCUGUUCUGGACAUCCUGGCAGGAGGAGAGGUGGAGUUUCCCCUUCCUGCAGCUCUGGUGGGAUGUGGACAAGGCUCUGCCAGGAAUAUGUGCACAGGUCAACCAAGUGGUGGAUGUUCGGGACGGAUCAGCUCGAGAAGGAGCUGGUCGACUUGGAAUCCUGGCUGGGCCUGACCAAUGUUGACCAGCUGAGGAAGGAGGCGCUGAGGCACCUGCAGCUUGAGAGGUCCUGAGGCUCCUACGUGAGGUUGUGGGUCCAGAUGUUGAAGGAUCUGGACCAUGCCUCGCCCUUCUACUCUCGAGAAGGGGAGGGGUGUCUGCAGGCAGCUAAUGGAGUUGCUGGCUGAGGAUGGUUCCUCCGUCGCGGAUCCAGCAAGAACUGGUGGUGAAAGUGCUUUCCUUUUAUGACUCUCCCUUCUUUGGACCCAUGCAGUGAGGAUGCGCGAAAGCCUCUGUGGGGGGACUUGCCAAGGCUCAGCUGGGCAGCUUGACGCACCACUAUCUCUGGUGGAGCUGACCAGUCCCCUUAACCAGCUGAAGAGAGAGAAAUACCCAGGGCUAGAUGGGUUGACGGUUGAAUUUCUCCAGGUCUUCUGGGACAUCCUCGGGGCUGAUUAUGUGAGGGCAUUGGGGGAGAGCAUAGCGAUGGGUGAGAUGCCCUUCUCUUGGUGCAGAGCAGUCGUGGUCCUGCUGCCAAAGAAGGGGGAUCUCCGUUGCCUUCAGAAUUGGCGCCCAGUAUCCUUCCUCGAUGCGGAGAACAGGAUUGUUGCACGAGCGAUGGACAAUUAUCUGGGCUGGCACAAGUGGUCCACCCUGACCAGUCCAACACAGCCCCAGUGUAGUUGAUCCAGGACAGCAUCCAUUUUGUCCGGGAUCUGAUCUACCUGUGCCGGGAGGCUGGUCUGUCAGUGGCCUUUCUCUCACGACCAGGAGAAGACGUUUGGCAGGGUGGACCAGAAGUACCUUUCAGGGAAUCUGCAAGCAUUCAGGCUCGGGACACAUUUUGUGGCCCACAUCCAACUGCUGUGGAGUUCCUAGCUAAGUCAAUGGGUCCUUGACAGUACCCUUGAGCUUUGGGAGGCGGGUGCGCCAGGGGUGCCCCAUGUCGGGAUAGUUGUACUCGGUUUCCUUUGCUUUCUCUGCACGAGGUUAAUGGGCUUUGUUCUGCACAAACCAGAUAUAGAGGUUGUCCUGUCGGCUUACGUCAAUGACAUCCUCCUUAUGUUCACCGACCUGGUUGACUUGCAAAGGAUGCGAGACUACCAGCAGGUCUUCUCGGCCGCAUCCUCUGCAAGGGUCAACUGGGAGAAGAGAGUGGGUCAGUGACAGGUGGACUCCUUACCAGAGGGGCUGAGGCCAUUUGGGUGGAGCACCACGCACCUCCUCUACUUGGGGGUCUACCCUGAGCUUGGCGGAGGAGACCUGGUGGGAUUUGGAGACAAAAAUCUCUGUCUGGCUUGGGAGCUGAUCAGGCCUCCUUCGUGCGAUCUCAUACCGGGGGAGGGCUUUAGUUAUCAAUCAGAUGGUCGCCUUGAUUGUGUGGUACGGUGUUUGUGUCCAGGACCCAGAAGAGGCUGGUGGACUUCUUCAUGGGCAAUAAAGGGCAUUGGGUCUCUGCAGCUGUCCUGAGUCUUCCGAUCGUGGAGGGCAGUCAGUCCUUGGUGCACACUGAGCUGGCGGCUCUCUGUCUCAGGACCCUGCAGAGAUAACUGUACUGUGACCACCCUCCAGGAUGGCAUGUGCUGGAGACGCUGCCUGCAGGAGGCCACACUAAUCCUGGCAGACAGCGUCAGCCAAGCCACAUUGAGGGAACUACCCCACUUCUACCGGGAACUGUAUGGGGUCUGGCUUCAUCCAGCAGGGUGCUCCUGCGCCGUUGGGACCGGUCCUGAUCCUGAUCCUAUUACGGUGGGUGUCGGGGAAGUGGAGGGGUUCCGGCUGCACCACCACCUCGUCAGACCCAGGUCUCAGGAGAGAGUCCUGCACAACGUGAGCCAUCUCACAGGGACGCCCACCGUGCCGUUCUGUGAUGCUCCGAGGCAUUUCCUGAACGGACUGCUCCAGCACUCCGUCCACUUCCUCGCCUUGGCGGUCCGUGUUACCGUCCGGCAGCGGAGCAGGUGUCUCUGUACACCGGGGACCCGGGGAGAAAGGUGUUGCUUCGGGCAGUCCCAUUCAACAGGUCCCUGAGCAGGUUUACUGUCCACCUGUCCAUACAGGGCGGUCCGUGUUACCAUCCGCAGCGGAGCAGGUGUCUCUGUACACCGGGGACCCGG